GCGGGGCUCCCCAGCCGGACACUGGCUCCAGGUGGUGCUCCUCACCCGGACACUGGCUCCAGGUGGAGCUCCCCAGCCGGACACUGGCUCCAGGUGGUGCUCCCCAACGGACACUGGCUCCAAGUGGUGCUCCCCAGCUGACACUGGCUCCAGAGGUGCUCCCCAGCUGGACACUGGCUCCAGGUGGGGCUCCUCACCCGGACACUGGCUCCAGGUGGUGCUCCCCAGCCGGACACUGGCUCCAGGUGGUGCUCCCCAGCCGGACACUGGCUCCAGGUGGUGCUCCCCAGCAGGACACUGGCUCCAGCUGUGCUCCCCAGCAGACACUAGCUCCAGCAGUGCUCCCCAGUGGACACUGGCUCCAGGCGGUGCUCCCCAGCCAGAUACUGGCUCCAGGUGGUGCUCCCCAGCAGGACACUGGCUCCAGGUGGUGCUCCCCAGCAGGACACUGGCUCCAGCGGUGCUCCCCAGCCAGACACUGGCUCCAGGAGUGCUCCCCAGCUGGACACUGGCUCCGGGAGUGCUCCCCAGCCGGACACUGGCUCCAGGAGUGCUCCCCAGCAGGACACUGGCUCCAGCGGUGCUCCCCAGCCAGACACUGGCUCCAGGAGUGCUCCCCAGCUGGACACUGGCUCCGGGAGUGCUCCCCAGCCGGACACUGGCUCCAGGAGUGCUCCCCAGCUGGACACUGGCUCCGGGAGUGCUCCCCAGCCGGACACUGGCUCCAGGAGUUGCUGCUGGUAUGUGGCCAGCUGCUGGGUGUCUGGUCCUCUCUCCAUGCUGCUCAGAGUCUCUGGCCAUUCUCCACUGAAAAUCUCUCUCAACCAGUACCAGUCCCCGGAACACGGCCCUGCCUUUGUUUUUCUGGCAUUUUUAUGUGGCUGAAAUAAGCCUGUCUUCUCACCAGUCAGCCAUCUUGGAUUCCAAACAGGUUUUAAGUUUUCCAGCAUAAAGCGUACGCUCCGUGGUCCUCUCCUGAAGUGCUGUGUCGUUGAUCACCCAGAGCCCGCAG
rnacentral:lncRNA from 1 species